GAGGAAGAUGGACCAUCCGUACAUUCUUGUGCUGUCUUGCUCCGCGAGCUCAGCCCAGCGAUCGGUAGGUGCCAGCUUUACGUGGGUGUCCCCAUGGAGGCAACGGUGGCCUUGCCGUACACCAGCCCGAUGCUCUUUGGAAAAUCCCGGUAUUUAUGCAUUUGCAGAGGAAUGGGUUUUGGCACACGUGGCCAGCGGGUGCCAAAACCUGCCUCGGUUGCAACAUGGGGAGCCUAUGACGCAUGCGCUCGCUGGCCAGGGGCACUGCACGAGUCAUAGCCAUCCUGUCUAUUGGUUCAUGGGCUUUGUACAUGCGGUUGCAAUGCACAGAGAAUCUUGACCUGUCAUGUUGGCCAAGGUGACCCACACGUUAGUUUUUGGCUGAGGUGGUAUCCAUAUUGCUGCACCAUCUAGGAUGUUCCAGAUGAUGAUGGUUGUACAAAUCGAGCGGGAGUCCAUCGUGGGCCUGUAUCUGUGGAAACACAAGCAUAACCUCACCCCCAGGUUAUUAAUGGAAAUGGACCUUCCCAUUGCCCUGUUUCUAGAUUCUUAACUAAAACCAUGGCCUUACCCCUAAUUUCCAGCC